rnacentral:tRNA from 1 species
GAGCCACUAGCUCAGGCGGCAGAGCACCUGCCUUUUAAGCAGGGUGUCCUGGGUUCGAGUCCCAGGUGGCUCACCA